AGGAUGAACGCUGGCGGCGUGCUUAACACAUGCAAGUCGAACGGUGAAGUGAGGAGCUUGCUCCUUGCGGAUCAGUGGCGAACGGGUGAGUAACACGUGAGUAACCUGCCCUUGACUCUGGGAUAAGCACUGGAAACGGUGUCUAAUACCGGAUACGACCUCCGAAGGCAUCUUCUGGAAGUGGAAAGAAUUUCGGUCAAGGAUGGACUCGCGGCCUAUCAGCUAGUUGGUGAGGUAACGGCCCACCAAGGCGACGACGGGUAGCCGGCCUGAGAGGGUGACCGGCCACACUGGGACUGAGACACGGCCCAGACUCCUACGGGAGGCAGCAGUGGGGAAUAUUGCACAAUGGGCGCAAGCCUGAUGCAGCAACGCCGCGUGAGGGACGACGGCCUUCGGUUGUAACCUCUUUAGUAGGAAGAAGCGAAAGUGACGGUACCUGCAGAAAAGACACCGGCUAACUACGUGCCAGCAGCCGCGGU
rnacentral:rRNA from 1 species